rnacentral:rRNA from 1 species
UGCAGUCGAACGCGAAAGGGACUUCGGUCCUGAGUAAAGUGGCGCACGGGUGAGUAACGCGUAGAUAACCUGUCUUCAUGUCUGGAAUAAUACACCGAAAGGGGUACUAAUACCGGAUAUUCUUGCUUUAUAUAAGUUUUGCAAGCAAAGGUGGCCUCUGAUUCAAGCUACUGCAUGUAGAGGGGUCUGCGUACCAUUAGCUAGUAGGUAGGGUAAUGGCCUACCUAGGCGACGAUGGUUAGCGGGUCUGAGAGGAUGAUCCGCCACACUGGCACUGGAACACGGGCCAGACUCCUACGGGAGGCAGCAGUGAGGAAUAUUG